rnacentral:snRNA from 1 species
GAUCUAGGGUUUCUCUGCAGAUCAUAUAAAUCUUUCAUCUUUUACUAAAGAUUUCCAUGGAGAGAGAGAAAACAAAAAGAGUGACAGUCUCAGAAACCCACCUGGGCAGUUCUAGCCUGUCCU